UCCUCUAAGCCUGUUAGGAACACAUUCUCGUGUCCUUAAAUGUACAAGCAGAUAAUUGUUGGCGCUCUAUCUUUGUGUGAGGAGGCCAGGGUGUAAAUGGCUUUUAAUGACUGCAGCUGCUGGCUGAAAACUGUCAAUGGAAUUGGCUAAUUCAGAGCCCCCGAAUCUUGCGAGCUCUCUGCACAUUGCGGCUGAAUCCGGACGAGCUGAACUAGAGAGUUACUGCCGAGGGGAGAGAUACGAAGCCAUGAUCGCCAGCAGCAGGGAACGCAAACAAGAGGACCGGGAAAGCAAACCCCUCUCGACUCGGAAAAUCCUUUCCGGAUCCUGGUGAAGAAACUUGUAAUGAUGUCUUGUAUUCCAUGAAACAAAAUCACUGUAUAAGUACGGUAAACAUACAACUCAAUGAAUGAAGGUUUCUCCCUCAGUCCAUCUGCAAGAUCUGUGCCAGUGAGGGAAGAUUUGGCCUUGGUGAAAGCAGGGAACCAACAGAAGGCAGCCUCCCGAAAGAUGAUUUGUAAGAAACUCAGCCAGUUGUGGGUUUCCCCCCAGUGGAGAACAUGACACGGCCCAUUCUUUGGCAUGUAUGCAGGUGUGCGCACAAGACUUUACAUAGAAAAUGGAAAUGGUGCUAUAACAGGAUCAGGAAACAGAAUUUGAAAGUCACAUGUCUUUUCAUGCUGGAAGUGUCUGCACCCUGAUUCAUUGAAGGGGAAAAAUACCACAGUCGAGCACUGUUAGAUGGCCUCUUUCCUUUCAGGGGGACAGAAGCCUGGCUUGCCUCACUGAAGGUUGUUUUCCUUUGUGCUAUAUGGUUUGGAAAUGGAACUGGGAAUUGUGAGGUGAAAAUAGAUCAUGGGAUGGAAGAGGGACAGUGAGAGUGAUAUGGGAACUCAGAGACGAUACUGAGAGGAGAUGGGAAUAUGGGAAGCAGUACGAAGACUGAGGGAGCAGGCAAAGAAGCGGCAUGGAGGGAGAAUGUGAGAUGUAAGAGGAUGAGGGGGAAAGAUGGGAAAAUAUGGAGUGAGGGCAGGUGUGGAACAGGAGAUUGUGGGAGAGCAUGAAAGGACAAUGUGAAUGAGGAAGGAGACUGUGUUGGAUAAUUGUGGAAGUGGGUAGAGCUAAAUGAACCCCAAAGUGAUCUUCCUGCUGCAAACACAGACAGAGAUCUAGAACAUUCUCAGAGAAGAAGCUGUUAGCUGGCUUUCUCAGGGAGCUGCUUGUAUUCCUCCAAUAUCUUCUUUAAUAAAAUCUGCUUGCUGUUUCUUUCAGUGCCUUUAUCUUUUGGUUAUUGUUCAUGGGGCAGGUCCAGCUAGAAUAUAACAAUCACUAAUGGCAUUUUGAUGGGUAACUGGCCUUAUAGAAAAGAAGACAGCAUGCCAAAAUUCAGAUCCAGUGAAUGGAAGUGGGUAAUAAUAGCCCAUGAAAAGUAGAUGUUUCACUGCUACCUUUUGGCAGAAGUGAGUAAUGAAUGUUCCAUGGAAAGCAUCAAACAAAUAACAACUGGAACAAGAAGUCAAGCUGUGAAACAUGCAAAUGUUGCAUCAUCUGGCUUCUUGGCAGACCACUCAGUCACUACACAUUAGGUAAGGUUUACACAGCUCAAGCUUCAGAAACAAUGAAACAGCUAAUUCCACUGGAUGCUAUUCCCCACUGCCCUGUGGUUCACUAAGAUGUGAGAUCAGCUGAUAAGAGACAGCUUCAGCCCCUGCUACAUUCUGGACCAUCUGAUCAAACCAGGCCCCUGGUAUCCUGAUUUGUCACCAACAUGCACUAGUCACAAUUUUCCGUCAUAACAACAUGCACCUGAUCAGCCAUUCAAAUCAAGCAGGCCAACAGCAGGUUUUGCAGUAGACUCUAACACCCACAUUUGCUACCAUCUGAAGAAGAGUGACCACUUCUGUCCAUCACUAAGACCAGACCUUCAAUCUAGGCCAUUUUCAUAGACAGCUUGACUCAAAUUCCAUUGAAGUCGGUAGAGAGACUCUCACUGAAUCACAUCUAGAAUGUCUGCAGAUGGGUUCCAUCUUAAAGAAAGAGAGCUGGAUAAGGCAAGGAGAGAAGAGAUGCGCAUGUGUGGUCACCGAGUGGAUUUGGGUGAAGAGAUGUGCAGAGAGUGAGGAAUGAGAAAUGAGAGAAAAGGAAGGCAAAACCGAGGAGAAGUUUGAAAGAGAAAAUGAAGGAGUGAGUGAGAGUGAAACAGGAAAAGAGGAAUGGAGGGAGAGUGAAGAAAAAAGACAGGAUGAUGAAAGAAGAGAUAUGCCAAGAUGCAACAUAAGGAAAGAAAAAGUGAAGAAAAGAUGAAUAGCAAGUGAGACCCCAAACGAUACAUAUUUUAUUAUUUAAAACAAGGUUUUUAGCCAUAAUGUUACAAUACUAAGGAUGCUUGAUUUUUAUAGACAAACUGGGUAUGUUCAUCUUCAGGAGUGACCUGGCUGAAAUACUACCUGAGAGACGAAAAUAGCAAAUGUUUUAAUCUUGUCAGGGAAAGGAAUGGCUUGAAGGGGUCCUAUUGGGUAGAGUACACUGAAGAAGAGCUUGAUUCAGUUUUAUUCCUAAGAGGAAAGUAGCAGCACUAGCCCUCCGCUUUGAUGUAGCCUGUGGAAACUGAUGUUUUAGGACAGUCUGACAUCAAUUAAAGCCCCACACUGCACAAAUUAAAACCUGCUUUUCUUCACUAAUUUCCUUGCCUUAUACUAUUUUCAAAAUCAUGCAGUUCAAACACAUACAACAGCCAAAUACGUCUGUCAUCUCCAACUGUCUUAAAUACAACAGUUUUCCCUACGCUACUGUUCUGAAAUAAACAGAUCUAGAGCUUGUUUACUGAGCAUAAUUUAUUCCAGACCCAUGCUGGAAUAAUAAUGUUCUUGAGUCUUUGCAGAUGUGUAGUCACUAGAGAGCUGCCUGCCUACAUGAGUUUUUACACAUAUUUCAACUAAAUCAAUGCUCUAAAUGCAACAUUGAACACUCGGGGAUGUUGUGUGGAUUUGUAGCACUCCCUGGAGGACUCUGUGUCUAUAAACCAAUAAACAGUUUACACUUCUCAAUAUAUGUCAUUUUUGUCAUUUUUGACACAUAGUGCAUCGAUCAUAUUCCUCAUGUUAAUUCAAUAUUCUUCACUGAGAAUAACUGGUUACAAAUUAAUGAAGGAAGUGAAAACUAUUCUCCAUAUUCUUAUUUCUCGUAGACUAUCAGCUAUAAAAGAACACAGCAAAAUAGAAAUUUCUCAUAUAAACAGGACGGAAUUCAUAUUAAUCAGAUAAAUACUGAGUUAUAUGUAUUUUGUGAUCAAAACAAAUACACAGGACAUGAAGAAAUGGGGAGAAAUAGUUUAUAUUUUAUGUCCUCAUAUAUGCAUCUUUGCAAGCAUGUUUGGACACUGCAGUUUCAGAAAAAAAAAUAUUUUCUUAUAUAAGGGUAAUGCUGCAACCUGCAUGCGUUUCUGUGGAUGAAAUCUUGGGGGCAUUACACUGAAGUCCAUAGGUGUUUGCCAGAGAAAGGAUUGAGUAAAAAUGGAGUAAAGACCUCAGGAUUUAGUCCCUAACCAUAGAGCUAUUUUAAUUUCAUGAAUUAAGAGAUUCUGAGACCUUUUCUGGAUUGGCCAGUCAGAAUCAGACAGAUUGCAGACCUAAAAAUACUUAAGUACACACACACUCACUGGUUUUAUAGAUGGUAGGUGUUUGCACAAGUCAGGAGAUAAAUAAUCUCAAUAAACAGCUACACCAAAGUAUAUGUAGGCUUGGAAGGAUUAGACUUUUAUCUGUAAAUACUGGUAAACGUCAAUUUCACCAUGGACGUAUAAACUGAUGAAAAAUAUUCCCAUUUAUAAUAAUCUAAAUGUAUAGAUAGACAAAGUAAGAAAAAUGCUGCUUGAGAG